rnacentral:snRNA from 1 species
AUACCUUUCUCGGCCUUUUGGCUAAGAUCAAGUGUAGUAUCUGUUCGCCCUGGUCGUUCUUAUCAUGGCUUGGUUGAAUCAACGCCUAGACUGAAUGGGUUUGAUCUAGGCUGACCUUAC